rnacentral:rRNA from 1 species
GACGAACGCUGGCGGCGUGCUUAACACAUGCAAGUCGAACGAAGUGGCGAACGGGUGAGUAACGAGUAAUCAACCUGCCCUUCAGAGGGGGACAACAGGUGGAAACGACUGCUAAUACCGCAUAAUGAAGGAGGGGGGUGAGUCGGAUUAGCUAGUUGGGGGGGUAACGGCCGACCAAGGCGAUGAUUAGGAGCCGGUGUGGGAGGAUGAACGGGCACAUUGGGACUGGGACACGGCCCAGACUCCUACGGGAGGCAGCAGGGGGGAAUCUUCCGCAAUGGACGAAAGUCUGACGGAGCAACGCCGCGUGAGGGAUGACGGCCUUCGGGUUGUAAAGCUCUGUUAAGCGGGACGCGGUACCGGAAUAGAAAGCAACGGCUAACUACGUGCCAGCAGCCGCGGUAAUAC